CCUACGGGUGGCUGCAGUGGGGAAUCUUGCGCAAUGGCCGAAAGGCUGACGCAGCGACGCCGCGUGUGGGAGGAAGCCCUUCGGGGUGUAAACCACUGUUGCCCGGGACGAACAUCCCCUUUCGAGGGGACUGACGGUACCGGGUGAGGAAGCACCGGCUAACUCCGUGCCAGCAGCCGCGGUAAUACGGAGGGUGCGAGCGUUGUCCGGAAUCACUGGGCGUAAAGGGCGCGUAGGCGGCUCGUUAAGUCACUGGUGAAAUCCCGCUGCUCAACGGCGGGGCUGCCGGUGAGACUGGCGAGCUAGAGCACUGUAGGGGCAGAUGGAAUUCCGGGUGUAGCGGUGGAAUGCGUAGAGAUCCGGAAGAACACCGGUGGCGAAGGCGGUCUGCUGGGCAGUUGCUGACGCUGAGGCGCGACAGCGUGGGGAGCAAACAGGAUUAGAUACCCUAGUAGUCC
rnacentral:rRNA from 1 species